UUGUUUUCCUCCGGUCUGUGAAAUCUUGCAGAUGCCGUUAGGAGCACCGGAGGACACAGAGGGACAUGAUUUGUUUCAGGUUACCUGUUUCAUGUACUACUGUCACGAUAUAGUGACCGUUUUAUAGAAAUAACUUUUUUUAAUCAUAUUUCAAUCUCGCCUACUUCAGCUUUAAAGGCCACAGUGCUGUUGACUUAAUAAACAGUAUUAAAAGAUGAGACUGGGUAUCCAUAGGAAAAUUGUGCUUGCCUUUUAAAGUCGGCUUAUGCAUGUGUUAGAUGCAGCUUUUAUGGAGUAACAAAACACAUCAUAUAUGGAAGAAAAAUGGUGAUGCACUGGAUACACAGGAUCAAUGCAGGCUGUUAGAAUCUGACUAUGUAAAGCAAUAUAUUUUUUAUUUAUUUUAAAGAAACAAAUGGUUCAGUUUAGGCACAAAAGCUACUUGAGUUAGCGAAACCUCAUGGUUCAUGUUUAAAUUAUUAAGUAUUAAAAAAAUACCAUGUCCCUUGUGAUGUGUAUGUAACAUUUGUGUACUCAGAUUUAUCUGAAUGUUUCGGGAAAGCAUAGACUGUCCUAGUGUAGUAACACUUCUUAUCUUUCUCGCACCUGCACUCUGCUAAGACUAAAUCCCAAGUAACUCCCUUUUAUGAAUAGACAAUGCUUUCAUACACAAGCAGGGUGGAAGGUGUGGGCCACAAAGGGAGGGGAGGCUAAACCAAGAUUAUAAGGAAUGCUGUAGUGAGGGAGCUCUUUGUCUUUUACACUGACUUGUCUGCUGUAUGGACCCAAAUGCAUUUGCUAAAUAAAUUGCUUCUUAACUGAA